CCUAGGGGGGCUGCAGUGGGGAAUUUUGGACAAUGGGGGCAACCCUGAUCCAGCCAUUCCGCGUGAGUGAAGAAGGCCUUCGGGUUGUAAAGCUCUUUUGUCCGGAGCGAAACGGGCGGCCCUAAUACGGUCGUCUACUGACGGUACCGGAAGAAUAAGCACCGGCUAACUACGUGCCAGCAGCCGCGGUAAUACGUAGGGUGCGAGCGUUCGUCGGAAUUACUGGGCGUAAAGCGUACGCCGGCGGUUUAAUCCCCGGGCUCAAGCUGGGAAUGGCAGUUGGGACUGCAAGGCUGGAGUGUGGCAGAGGGGACUAGAAUUCCUGGUGUAGCAGUGAAAUGCGUAGAUAUCAGGAGGAAUACCGAUGGCGAAGGCAGGUCCCUGGGUUAACACUGACGCUCAUGCACGAAAGCGUGGGGAGCAAACAGGAUUAGAUACCCGAGUAGUC
rnacentral:rRNA from 1 species